rnacentral:rRNA from 1 species
AUUGAACGCUGGCGGCAUGCUUUACACAUGCAAGUCGAGCGGCAGCGCGGGGGCAACCCUGGCGGCGAGCGGCGAACGGGUGAGUAAUGCAUCGGAACGUACCCUGGAGUGGGGGAUAACGCCGCGAAAGCGGCGCUAAUACCGCAUAUGCUCUGAGGAGGAAAGUGGGGGACCGCAAGGCCUCACGCUCUGGGAGCGGCCGAUGUCCGAUUAGCUAGUUGGUGGGGUAAAGGCCUACCAAGGCGACGAUCGGUAGCUGGUCUGAGAGGAUGAUCAGCCACACUGGGACUGAGACACGGCCCAGACUCCUACGGGAGGCAGCAGUGGGGAAUUUUGGACAAUGGGGGCAACCCUGAUCCAGCCAUGCCGCGUGAGUGAAGAAGGCCUUCGGGUUGUAAAGCUCUUUUGGUCGGGAAGAAAGUGCCUUGCCUAAUAAGCGAGGUAUUUGACGGUACCGGCAGAAUAAGCACCGGCUAACUACGUG